CAAUCGUGUCUCAGCCGUUUUUCGUUGCCAACAGCAAAACAUCAGCGCGGAACGUUUAACAACAUUGAAGUAUUGAUCAUUAGUCAUUGCGUUUGUAGUUUGUAUUUGGUACUUCGAACCACGGCAGUAGUGUGUACUCAGUGUUGACAGUAUCUUCGAACCGAGGUAAACGAUAAAGUAACUUUAUGUAACAACUGUUGUCGUAAGUGUUCCUCCGUUACAUAGAAUAACAGUGUAUAAAUCUAUGGCGCGUUAUUUAUUUAUUAUUAUUAUUAUCAGUGCAUAGUGAUCAUAGUGCUGUGUAGUCACGGAUCGAGAGAGCACGGUCGGUUCGCGAUCAGUAGUCAGCAAAAUGAGAACCACUAAAAACCGUGUUCGGUUGUCCAAUAACAUCCGUGCGUAGAGGUGGCAGGCGGCGAGGACGCGCCGACACGACGUCGACAUAUUAUUUCGUUCACUACAACCACCGCCGACGCCGACUCCCCACCACGUAACGGAUGUCUCGGCACCAUAGCUCUGGUCGCCGACGCAGUUGUACACACUACGCACGACUGUAGCGCUGCGGCACUGCGACUGCCGUACUGCUUCCGGCUCCGUUGUCUCCGUCUACUGUGUAGUGUUUUAGUAUGUUGUACACUGGAUUCGUCGGGCGUUCGCUGUCGUUACGACGCUGCGGAACCUCUAGUCUCGGCUGCGAACGGGUCCGCCAUUUUUCUUUUCUAUAUGAACUUAAAAUUAUUCUCCCUCGCCGGUACUGCUCUUCUGCCGAAUCUUCCACUUGAGUAUUUUUCUAUUUUCUCAGUUCUCAUAACCUCCGAAUCGACAGUGAUCGUUUUCCGUUCGGUACGUCAUCGGUCGGCAUAAUAAUAUUAAUAUUAAUAAUAACAAUUAAUUAUACAACGCGCUACAAUUAUAUUAUAUUUUAUUCACAUCGUUCAUCGAAGCCAGUGUCCAUUUCGCGUUUCGUGAAAACACGUGUUCGUGUUCUUUGUUUAUUUUAUCCGUGAGUUAUGUUUGGUUAUGUAUUGGUUCAUCCUCGUUUCGACGGCAACUGGCAAGAACUUGAUGUUUCGGUACCGGCGAUUGCAGUACACAUUACAGAGUCUAGUUGCGAAUGCCAUUGACCAUGUCCAGGGCAAUGACGGUAGCUGCUCCUCAAGCAAAGUAUCCAGAUUGAUUACUUUUUUACUGGUUGCUGCUUAUCUUUACUACAGCUGCAAGGAAGUGCAAACUGCGUAUUACUUUGGAACUCUGAGUACCUAUGAUAUCAUUAGCUGUGGAUUGAUGACACCUAUCAAUUGUUAACAAAUCAAAACCAACCGUGAGGUCAGCAUUUAUAUUAUGGUAAAUAAAGGUUCACUAUUGAGAUACCUGAAUUACAUAAUUUAUCAAUGA